UGCUGCAGCCCUCCUUGGGCGUUUCCUCCCUAGACUUGGGCCGCUGUUUGCAGCGGCCUUUUUUUUGUCAGGG
rnacentral:sRNA from 1 species